GCUGUGGUGGCCUAGUGAUUAGAGCGUCCGUCUCGGAUGCGGGAUAUCGUUGGUUCUAUCCCAAGUCUUACAACA